rnacentral:rRNA from 1 species
GCCCGCUGCACUUCAGCAUAGUCAAUAAGCGGAGGAAAAGAAACCAACAGGGAUUGCCCUAGUAACGGCGAGUGAAGCGGCAACAGCUCAAAUUUGAAAUCUGGCUCUCUCAGGGUCCUAGUUGUGAUUUGUAGAAGAUGCUUCGGGGGUGGCUCCGGUCUAAGUUCCUUGGAACAGGACGUCAUAGAGGGUGAGAAUCCCGCACGUGACUGGUUGCCAUAGCCCAUGUGAAGCUCUUUCGACGAGUUGAGUUGUUUGGGAAUGCAGUUCAAAAUGGGUGGUAAAUUUCCUUCUAAAGCUAAAUAUUGGCCAGAGACCGAUAGCAGACAAGUAGAGUGAUCGAAAGACGAAAAGCGCUUUGGAAAGAGAGUUAAACAGUACGUGAAAUUGUUGGUAGGGAAGCGCUUGCAACCAGACUUGCGCGCUGGCGAUCAACCUGAGUUCUUUCCGGUGCACUCGGUUGCGCUCAGGCCAGCAUCGGUUUGGGUGGUUGGAUAAAGGAAGUGGGAAUGUAGCUUCUCUCGGGGAGUGUUAUAGCCCACGGUGCAAUGCACGCCUACCUGGACCGAGGACCGCGCUUCGGCUAGGAUGCUGGCGUAAUGCUUGUAAGCGACCCGUCGUGAAACACGG